AUCUUUAUGCAUGGGCAGGCGUUUCGUCCCGUGAAGUCUUUGACUGAGGAGAAACUAUUGCUUAAUCGAAAAUAAACCACCAAUACCGUCCACUUCGCACUUGUGCGUCUUGGCAAUUUUUGUUCUUUCCUUACUUCCUCCCUUUCCUCCCCUUUGUUCUCUCUGCGCUGUACCUCACCUUGCAA
rnacentral:snRNA from 13 species